rnacentral:rRNA from 1 species
UACAGAGGGCCCAAGCGUUGUUCGGAUUCACUGGGCGUAAAGGGUGCGUAGGCGGGUCUUUAAGUCCGGGGUGAAAUCCUGGAGCUCAACUCCAGAACUGCCUUUGAUACUGAAGAUCUUGAGUUCGGGAGAGGUGAGUGGAACUGCGAGUGUAGAGGUGAAAUUCGUAGAUAUUCGCAAGAACACCAGUGGCGAAGGCGGCUCACUGGCCCGAUACUGACGCUGAGGCACGAAAGCGUGGGGAGCAAACAGG